rnacentral:lncRNA from 1 species
UCCUGCCAAAAAGAUAAAUUAUAGCACACACAUCAAACAACCGUAACAAUAGAAAGCAUUCACUGACUUUAAGAAUUCAUUUAUCCAAACAACUGUAGACAAAACCAUGUCAAUGGGCUUGUGUGCGCUAAUUAACAUUGAAUUGUAUAUAAAAAUCCAGGUUAAUAUGUGAAUGCAUUAGCAUUUGCACAUCUCUUACAGCAAUAUACACAUAUCAUAAAAUCAAUGUAAACGAAGUACGGUUGUUAGUCACUCGCAUUAUAGUUGGACAACGUAUAUGAAAAAAGUUCAAGAGAAAGAAAACGUUAAACAACCUCAAAACAUACAUACAUUCAAGAUCUUACUGAAAUCAACAUUUCCUGGCAUCCCUCCUGGCAUUGCACCUGGGAAACCUCCAGGCAUCCCACCGGGCAUCCCACCGGGCAUCCCACCAGGAAACCCACCGGGCAUUCCUCCUGGCACUCCACCGGGCAUUCCUCCUGGCAUUCCACCGGGAAACCCACCAGGCAUACCUCCGGGUUUCCUGCUGGAAGAAGAUUGC